AGAGUUUGAUCCUGGCUCAGAUUGAACGCUAGCGGCAUGCUUUACACAUGCAAGUCGAACGGCAGCGCGGGGCAACCUGGCGGCGAGUGGCGAACGGGUGAGUAAUACAUCGGAACGUACCCUGUGAUGGGGGAUAACUACGCGAAAGCGUAGCUAAUACCGCAUACGACCUACGGGUGAAAGUGGGGGAUCGCAAGACCUCACGUCAUAGGAGCGGCCGAUGGCGGAUUAGCUAGUUGGUGAGGUAAAGGCUUACCAAGGCGACGAUCCGUAGCUGGUCUGAGAGGACGACCAGCCACACUGGGACUGAGACACGGCCCAGACUCCUACGGGAGGCAGCAGUGGGGGAUCUUGGACAAUGGGCGAAAGCCUGAUCCAGCAAUGCCGCGUGUGGGAUGAAGGCCUUCGGGUUGUAAACCACUUUUGGCGGGGGAGAAAUGCCGGGUGCUAAUACCAUCCGGUGAUGACGGUACCCGCAGAAUAAGCACCGGCUAACUACGUGCCAGCAGCCGCGGUAAUACGUAGGGUGCGAGCGUUAAUCGGAAUUACUGGGCGUAAAGCGUGCGCAGGCGGUUUGGUAAGACAGAUGUGAAAUUCCCGGGCUUAACCUGGGAACUGCAUUUGUGACUGCCAGGCUAGAGUGCGGCAGAGGGGAGUGGA
rnacentral:rRNA from 1 species